rnacentral:rRNA from 1 species
AGAACGAACGCUGGCGGCAGGUCUUAGGCAUGCAAGUCGAACGGAUGACAAGGGAGCUUGCUUCCUGAAGUCAGUGGCGCACGAGUGAGUAACGCGUGGGAAACUGCCCUUCACUGGGGAAUAACGUUUGGAAACGAACGCUAAUACCGCAUACGCCCGCAAGGGGAAAGAUUUAUCGGUGAUGGAUGUGCCCGCGUUGGAUUAGCUAGUUGGUGGGGUAAUGGCCUACCAAGGCGAUGAUCCAUAGCUGGUCUGAGAGGACGAUCAGCCACGCUGGAACUGAGACACGGUCCAGACUCCUACGGGAGGCAGCAGCUAAGAAUAUUGGGCAAUGGAGGAAACUCUGACCCAGCCCAUGCCGCGUGAAUGAAGAAGGCCUUCGGGUUGUAAAGUUCUUUUAGUCAUGAAGAUGAUGACAGUAGUGACAGAAAAAGCACCGGCUAACUUCGUGCCAGCCGCCGC